rnacentral:rRNA from 1 species
UACGUAGGUGACAAGCGUUGUCCGGAUUUACUGGGCGUAAAGAGCGCGCAGGCGGUCGUUCAAGUCGAGUGUGAAAGCCCCCGGCUCAACUGGGGAGGGUCACUCGAUACUGAUCGACUCGAAGGCAGGAGAGGGAAGUGGAAUUCCCGGUGUAGUGGUGAAAUGCGUAGAUAUCGGGAGGAACACCAGUGGCGAAGGCGACUUCCUGGCCUGCUCUUGACGCUGAGGCGCGAAAGCUAGGGGAGCAAACGGG